rnacentral:rRNA from 1 species
CCCUUAGACGUUCUGGGCCGCACGCGCGCUACACUGACACAGGCAACGAGCUUUCCUUUACCGAAAGGUAUGGGUAAUCUUUUGAAACUGUGUCGUGCUGGGGAUAGAUCCUUGCAAUUUUUGAUCUUAAACGAGGAAUUCCUAGUAAGCGCGAGUCAUCAACCCGCGUUGAUUACGUCCCUGCCCUUUGUACACACCGCCCGUCGCUACUACCGAUUGAAUGGCUUAGUGAGGCCUCAGGAUCCGCGCUUAAUGUGUGGAGAAUUUGGACAAACUACGUCAUUUAGAGGAAGUAAAAGUCGUAACA